rnacentral:rRNA from 1 species
AGUGAACGCUGGCGGUAGGCCUAACACAUGCAAGUCGAACGGCAGCACAGUAAGAGCUUGCUCUUACGGGUGGCGAGUGGCGGACGGGUGAGGAAUACAUCGGAAUCUACUUUUUCGUGGGGGAUAACGUAGGGAAAUUUACGCUAAUACCGCAUACGACCUACGGGUGAAAGCAGGGGAUCUUCGGACCUUGCGCGAUUGAAUGAGCCGAUGUCGGAUUAGCUAGUUGGCGGGGUAAAGGCCCAACAAGGCGACGAUCCGUAGCUGGUCUGAGAGGAUGAUCAGCCACACUGGAACUGAGACACGGUCCAGACUCCUACGGGAGGCAGCAGUGGGGAAUAUUGGACAAUGGGCGCAAGCCUGAUCCAGCCAUACCGCGGGGGUGAAGAAGGCCUUCGGGUGGUAAAGCCAUUUUGUUGGGAAAGAAAAGCAGCAGGUUAAUACCCCGCUGUUCUGACGGUACCCAAAGAAUAAGCACCGGCUAACUUCGUG